AUUGAACGCUGGCGGCAGGCCUAACACAUGCAAGUCGAGCGGAUGAAGGGAGCUUGCUCCUGGAUUCAGCGGCGGACGGGUGAGUAAUGCCUAGGAGUCUGCCUGGUAAUGGGGGAUAACGUCCGGAAACGGGCGCUAAUACCGCAUACGUCCUGAGGGAGAAAGUGGGGGAUCUUCGGACCUCACGCUAUCAGAUGAGCCUAGGUCGGAUUAGCUAGUUGGUGGGGUAAAGGCCUACCAAGGCGACGAUCCGUAACUGGUCUGAGAGGAUGAUCAGUCACACUGGAACUGAGACACGGUCCAGACUCCUACGGGAGGCAGCAGUGGGGAAUAUUGGACAAUGGGCGAAAGCCUGAUCCAGCCAUGCCGCGUGUGUGAAGAAGGUCUUCGGAUUGUAAAGCACUUUAAGUUGGGAGGAAGGGCAGUAAGUUAAUACCUUGCUGUUUUGACGUUACCAACAGAAUAAGCACCGGCUAACUUCGUG
rnacentral:rRNA from 1 species